GGAAAUGUCUGUGUGUCUUAUCGAGGCAAUGUGUGUCCUCUGGAGCUGAAUCGCCAAGCCAGAGUGCAGGAGCAAAAGGCAGAUCCCGGUCAGGAAGCAUGUAAGCGUGCGGCAUGGAGGAGGGAAGGCUGCAGAAAGGAGGCUGCUGAGGUUCCUGUGUAGGGUCUGUCUGGCGGCACGAUGCUUCCCCUGCUCAUCGCCUAGCAACUCAUCUCACCAGGACAGCAGUGCGCAUCUUACCUUACUACUUCAAGCACUGUCUAAGGUAAAAAAGAAGGCACUAUAUCGUUAAGCCUGUAUAGGCACCCAUACGCUUAUUACAUUGAGCCUGGCAUAUCUCCAGCUUUUUGAGUUUGUUUCUCCUUACUUUGCUGCAUUUAUUUUGGCUAUACACAGAAAGCACUAUGUUUUUAUUAUUUUUAUUUCCACAGAUAUACUGAGCCUGUGCUGUUUAAAAAUACAUUUAAGUAUACCCUGUGUGUACACUUUGGGUGUAUGUAUUCUUUACUUCUGUUUUUAUCUUUCAUUGAAGGUGAUAGGGGAAUACACCUUCUUCACACCCAUUUUUUGUUAUUUUAAUUUUUAUCUCUGAACCACCUACCCAAACAUUGUCUCUGUUUCUUAAAAAAAACAUUGCUGGCUGCAAUUCUACAUAAGGGGCAAAAAAAAAUGGACUUUGUGCAUCAUAUGUAUAAAGUAUUAAUUGAAUCCCAUUAAGGAAUUAUUUUUUUGUUUAUUUCUGUCUCUUAAGCACUAUUAGGAUAGUCGGCCAUAUGUUGUAAAUUCUGUUUCUCUAAUAUGUAUGCAAUUCUAUUUGCUUUGUGCCACCUUAGUGUGUUUUCUGAUUGAAUUAAGACCAUGCUCAGAGAUAACACAAAUGGUCAGCACUCAGUGGCAAACAUUGGAGAUACAUUACUGACAGUUCCUUCAUCACUGUAUUUUGUUGCAGAAAACCUCCCCCAUUCUACAUAAAGCAGAAAAGGAUGAUAAAGCAGAAAAGACUAGCAUAUACAAUUCCUUUUAAACUAGAGGUAGUAAACUAUUCUAAGGAGCAUGGAAACAGGACAGCAGAGACAUUUUGGGUCACUUCCAACUGGAAAUAUGGUAAGAGAGUGGAGGAAACAGGAGGAUCAGCUGCAAAAAGUGAAUAAAAGUAAG